GGCUGUAGCACAGCGGUAGAGCACCUGCUUUUCAGGUAGAAGGUCCCAGGUUCAAUCCCUGAAAUCUCCA